rnacentral:tRNA from 1 species
GUUUCCGUAGUGUAGUGGUUAUCACGUUAAGCCUCAUGCCUUGAAAGGUCCCGGUUCGAAACCGGGCGGAAACA